GCUUGGUAUAGGGACUGGUCCUAGUUUUAUUUUGUGUUGUCUAUUGAGUUAUAUAUUUAAUUUUUGCUUACAAUGGCCUGCUUUUGUAACUGAUUUCCAUGUUGUAGGAUUGAAUUUUUUAUUUUUUAUUUUUUGGUUGCAGGAUUUUGGUUUGGGUACACUUGUGACUAUCUUGUGGAUUUUCUUAUUGCAGAGGCUGCAUCAUAUAGUAUUGCUGUUUUCAUGGACAUGUCAUUUUGGGAGACCCUUGAUUAGUUUUCCUCAGGUUUUGAUUUUGGCAAGGACAAAUCAUUGGAGUUCCUGAAGCUCUGGAUCUAUUGAAGGUUGAUAGAACAUAUCUAAUGAGAAAAUUAGUAUAGUAGUUACAUAUCUAAUGACUGCUGGAUAUAUGUUGGUUGAUCUUUUACCGGUUUUCCUUCAUUCAUUUUCUCUUACUUGACCUGUAGAACUCAAUCCAUUUGCAAAUAUGGAAUAAGCAUUUUGUUUUUUU